rnacentral:rRNA from 1 species
AUGUUUGGCAUACAAUCUUUGUAUGAUGAGCAUGAUUGCAAUGUUGUUAGUAUGAACUCUUUGAAUAUCCAUAGUACUAAUGAUGAUUGCACUAGUCAUGAUAAAAAUGUCUCUUAUAAGCAUGUCAACUUUUGUGGAGUGCAUAGAGUUCGCAAGUACACACCAAAUAGGGAAGAUAGAUUUUGCAAGCGGCAUAAGUAUUUAGAAACUAAAUGGUUGCAAGAAAGGUUAGAUGUUUGUGCUGAAAAUUUAAAUUUUCUUAGCCAUCAUUGUGAACUUUGCAAUGAAUGUGGUCAUUUAAAUAUCUGA